AUUGAACGCUGGCGGCAUGCCUUACACAUGCAAGUCGAACGGUAACAGGUUAAGCUGACGAGUGGCGAACGGGUGAGUAAUGUAUCGGAACGUGCCCAGUCGUGGGGGAUAACUGCUCGAAAGAGCAGCUAAUACCGCAUACGACCUGAGGGUGAAAGCGGGGGAUCGCAAGACCUCGCGCGAUUGGAGCGGCCGAUAUCAGAUUAGGUAGUUGGUGAGGUAAAGGCUCACCAAGCCGACGAUCUGUAGCUGGUCUGAGAGGACGACCAGCCACACGGGGACUGAGACACGGCCCAGACUCCUACGGGAGGCAGCAGUGGGGAAUGUUGGACAAUGGGCGCAAGCCUGAUCCAGCCAUGCCGCGUGCGGGAAGAAGGCCUUCGGGUUGUAAACCGCUUUUGUCAGGGAAGAAAAGGUUCUGGCUAAUACCUGGGACUCAUGACGGUACCUGAAGAAUAAGCACCGGCUAACUACGUGCCAGCCGCCGCGGUAA
rnacentral:rRNA from 1 species